rnacentral:rRNA from 1 species
CUACGUGCCAGCAGCCGCGGUAAUACGGAAGGUCCAGGCGUUAUCCGGAUUUAUUGGGUUUAAAGGGAGCGUAGGCGGAUUAUUAAGUCAGUGGUGAAAGACGGUGGCUCAACCAUACAUUGCCGUUGAAACUGGCGAUCUUGAGUGCAGACAGGGAUGCCGGAAUUCGUGGUGUAGCGGUGAAAUGCUUAGAUAUCACGAAGAACUCCGAUCGCGAAGGCAGGUGUCCGGGCUGCAACUGACGCUGAGGCUCGAAAGUGUGGGUAUCAAACAGGAUUAGAUACCCUGGUAGUCCACACAGUAAACGAUGUAUACUCGCGGUUUGCGAUAGACAGUAAGCCGCCAAGCGAAAGCAUUAAGUAUACCACCUGGGGAGUACGCCGGCAACGGUGAAACUCAAAGGAAUUGACGGGGGCCCGCACAAGCGGAGGAACAUGUGGUUUAAUUCGAUGAUACGCGAGGAACCUUACCCGGGCUUGAAC